UGAAAUACCACCCUUUAAUGUUUGAUGUUCUAACGUUGACCCGUAAUCCGGGUUGCGGACAGUGUCUGGUGGGUAGUUUGACUGGGGCGGUCUCCUCCUAAAGAGUAACGGAGGAGCACGAAGGUUGGCUAAUCCUGGUCGGACAUCAGGAGGUUAGUGCAAUGGCAUAAGCCAGCUUGACUGCGAGCGUGACGGCGCGAGCAGGUGCGAAAGCAGGUCAUAGUGAUCCGGUGGUUCUGAAUGGAAGGGCCAUCGCUCAACGGAUAAAAGGUACUCCGGGGAUAACAGGCUGAUACCGCCCAAGAGUUCAUAUCGACGGCGGUGUUUGGCACCUCGAUGUCGGCUCAUCACAUCCUGGGGCUGAAGUAGGUCCCAAGGGUAUGGCUGUUCGCCAUUUAAAGUGGUACGCGAGCUGGGUUUAGAACGUCGUGAGACAGUUCGGUCCCUAUCUGCCGUGGGCGCUGGAGAACUGAGGGGGGCUGCUCCUAGUACGAGAGGACCGGAGUGGACGCAUCACUGGUGUUCGGGUUGUCAUGCCAAUGGCACUGCCCGGUAGCUAAAUGCGGAAGAGAUAAGUGCUGAAAGCAUCUAAGCACGAAACUUGCCCCGAGAUGAGUUCUC
rnacentral:rRNA from 1 species